rnacentral:rRNA from 1 species
GACGAACGCUGGCGGCGUGCUUAACACAUGCCAGUCGAACGGAAAGGCCCUGCUUUUGUGGGGUGCUCGAGUGGCGAACGGGUGAGUAACACGGGAGUAACCUGCCCUUGACUUUGGGAUAACUUCAGGAAACUGGGGCUAAUACCGGAUAGGAGCUCCUGCUGCAUGGUGGGGGUUGGAAAGGUUCGGCGGUUGGGGAUGGACUCGCGGCUUAUCAGCUUGUUGGUGGGGUAGUGGCUUACCAAGGCUUUGACGGGUAGCCGGCCUGAGAGGGUGACCGGCCACAUUGGGACUGAGAUACGGCCCAGACUCCUACGGGAGGCAGCAGUGGGGAAUAUUGCACAAUGGGCGGAAGCCUGAUGCAGCAACGCCGCGUGCGGGAUGACGGCCUUCGGGUUGUAAACCGCUUUCGCCUGUGACGAAGCGUGAGUGACGGUAAUGGGUAAAGAAGCACCGGCUAACUACGUG